rnacentral:tRNA from 1 species
GGGUAGGUGGCAGAGUGGUCAAUUGCACCAGGCUGUAAACCUGGCCUCUCACGAGUUCGGGGGUUCGAAUCCCUCCCUACCCA